GGCAGUUCCCAGGUGAUGCACCCUGGAAUUGGGCUCCCUAUUCUCUGGUUCCAAGUGCAUCACCCAAGAACCACU
rfam:Myotis brandtii contig246458, whole genome shotgun sequence.